CUAGAUUCGCUCAUUUUUAAUAUAUUAAAAUUUGUCUAUUAUUUUAUACUAAUUAAAUAAAUUGAUAAAAUUAAUUUUAGAAAGAUAUUUGUCAAGGUGCAUUAUUGCAUCCUUGAAAUUUUAAAUAUUUCAGAAAGAUGCGUACGCCGCAUUCUCAAUUGAGACGAACAUUUUAAACAUUAUCUAGAAUUUGUCUAAUGUUAAAGGCGUUGGUUAGUCUAUUAUAAAUUCACAAUACCUAAAUUUACUCUUUUCAUUAAAAUUGUGACAGAUUUGAGAUUAGUCCGCAACUCACUCGCGCCCUUACAAAUGUGUUUUUCCUCUCUUCUCCUCUAAUAUUAUGAUAGAUCUUGAAUAAAUUCGUAACCUCUUUCACACUAAUUAUUAAGCCUUAGAAACUUGUUUCGACCCCCAAAUUAUAAAUACUCUUCUAAAUCCUCUUGAAAUAAUCAAUUAGAUAUUCAAUAACAAAACUCAACUAGCAAUUUAUGAAAUAAAAAUACAUUCGUUAAUUACAUUUUUUUAAAGUGUAGCGUAAUUACUAAACCUAUGAGACCCAUUUAAGAGAUCAUUAUUAAAGGGAUCACUAAUUAAAAAAUUUAAGCAUAGAUCACAAAACAUUAAUAUUUGGAUCAAUUUACACAAAAUUCCAAAAAAAAAUAAUAAAAAAAAAAAAAUCAAAACACCGUCUGUUUUUUAACAAGUAAAAACCAAAGCCAAUCAUGAUGGAAAAAGGGUCCACUGCCACAGAAAUUCCAUGAAUUAAAAGGAUUGUUUAUUUCCAUAAUAUAAUGAAAUUUCUUUUAGGGAAAAAGAUUUCAUUAAAUUACUGUAAAUCAAAACCACUCCACGGACAUUUCAUCAUUCAACAAUCACAGAUCCUAAACUUUGCCUACCCAACCUACCUUUUGCCUACCCAACUCGACCUAUCAUGGCACUAUCACGAUCGCCGGCGUCAAUGAAUCAAAACAACAAUAAAUCAAAAUUAAUUCUAAUUCACUUAACAACUUUUCAAUUCGCGCUCCAAAUCAACCAAUUUUAAUUCUCAAACGAGAUACAAUUUCAUCACACAAUCUAUAAUUAAUCCACAAUCAAGGGAAUCAAACAACGAAUCGAACAAAUAGCAAUUCAAUCACUAACCAAGAUUAAACCACACACGAAUUCAAUCCAACAUACCGAGUAUAAUAAAAGAUGAAAUAAAAAAAAAAAAAAAAAGAAAAGAGAAUUGGACCUCAGUUGAAGAUCUUAUUAUGCCAAAUUAUGUGAUCGAAAGACAAAGCUGGAUCUGAAAAAUCCCGAUUCGAAUCUCAAUCCCAACAGAACAGCCUUGAACAACCUCAAUACGAGCCUAAAUCUCCGACUUUGACUUGAACUUAAAUGGGUUCGCUGGAAUCGGAAUGGGUACUUGUUCGCGGCUCCAUUAGAGCUUAAAUGCUUCUUUCCUGUUUUAAUAUGUCUAACAAGGAAUUAUGCUGAAAAUAUAUAACUAAAGAAAUAGCAAGUAAGAAAAGAAAGAAUGUUGAUCUUUUCUAAAAGAAUGUUUUAGUAAAUUUAAGGAGUAUUUUGUGUUAGUAAAAUACCUAAAGAUGUAACUAGUAAAAAUACUAAGAAAUUCAAUUGAAGGUACGUAAAAAUAUUACGUCUUCUCUUUCUUCC
rnacentral:lncRNA from 1 species